rnacentral:lncRNA from 1 species
AUGAAAACUGUUACUGGCAGUUUUAACCAGAACUACACAGGCAUAGCCAGCUCACGAGGCAUACUAACAAAGUUAGCCACUGGGAGAGCCGCUGGGGGACUGUGGAGCAGAUUUAGGAGUAUUAAAUCCUAGGGAACAAAAUCGUGGCCAUUGAACGUCAUCUGUCAGCAUCUUAACUGUUGCAUCACACACACUUACAAGACCUGUUUGUUUUACUGUCAUCAGAGUGCUGCUUUGUCACAUUGCAGCUUGCAGAAUCAGGACAUACAGUUACUGGAAGUAACUGACAGUUAUUUAAGGUUAAGCCACAAAACCCUCUACUACAUUUCAUACUCCAAAAAGGUGAGGAAUGGGAACGAGGAGCUCAUUGCAAAGAUGCUGGAAUGUGCCGUGCCACUGGCAUCACCUGAGGCAGAGGGAUCCAGAUAGAUCUGAGCACUGCGCAAUCAGCAGCAGCAUGAAG